rnacentral:rRNA from 1 species
CGGAUCAGCAUGCCGCGGUGAAUACGUUCCCUGGCCUUGUACACACCGCCCGUCACACCAUGGGAGCCGGUAAUACCCGAAGUCAGUAGCCUAACCGCAAGGGGGGCGCUGCCGAAGGUAGGAUUGGCGACUGGGGUGAAGUCGUAACAAGGUAGC